AUUGAACGCUGGCGGCAGGCCUAACACAUGCAAGUCGAACGAGUGGCGGACGGGUGAGUAAUGUCUGGGAAACUGCCUGAUGGAGGGGGAUAACUACUGGAAACGGUAGCUAAUACCGCAUACCAUCGGAUGUGCCCCGAUGGGAUUAGCUAGUAGGUGGGGUAAAGGCUCAACUAGGCGACGAUCACUAGCUGGUCUGAGAGGAUGACCAGCGACGCGGGAACUGUGACACAGUGCAGACUCCUACGGAAGGGUGCAGUGGGGAAUAUUGCACAAUGGGCGCAAGCCUGAUGCAGCCAUGCCGCGUGUAUGAAGAAGGCCGUCGGGGUGUAAAGUACUUUCAGCGGGGAGGCGUUACCCGCAGAAGAAGCACCGGCUAACUCCGUGCCAGCAGCCGCGGUAAUAC
rnacentral:rRNA from 1 species